rnacentral:lncRNA from 1 species
UUUUUUGUGUGUUUCUUGGAAUUUGAUGAGUUAAAAGGGCAGCUGCAGAUUCAUUCAUGCUUUGUUAUUUUUUUUUUAUUUUAGGUUUCAGAUACAUCAAUCAACAUCUAGAGUUAAUGCUCCCUCAAAGAACACGAUUCCCGACAUUUCCACGGUGCAACCCGUAGAAACAUAUAUCCAUUUUAGAAAUGCUUAAAAAUGAAAAUACAUUGCAAAAUUGUUUUCUCAUGAUCAACCUUAUCUUUCAAUAUGAAGAUGCAUACAAUUAC